ensembl:lncRNA
CUGGGCUCCUGUCGUCGGGUCCUGAGCGUUGUUUCCCAUCCCGUGUCGUCAGGUGGUGUGUCAGGCCUGUUCCACCAACAAGUUCUACCUGGAGUACCUGAAGAACCAGCCGGCUCGCGUCUGCGACCACUGCUUCACCAAGCUGCAGGAGAACAGUGACCGCUGUGCCUCGACUUCGGUCUCUCCGAUCGGAAAAUCUGCAGCGUUUUCGUUUUCCAGGAAACACAAGAAAAUUCCGGCUGCACUUAAAGAGGUUUCAGCCAACACAGAGAACACCUCCAUGAGUGGCUACCUCAACCGGUCAAAGGGCAGCAAGAGGCAGUGGAAGAGACUGUGGUUCGUCAUCAAGGACAAAGUGCUGUACACCUACGCUGCCAGCGAGGACGUGGCGGCGCUGGAGAGCCAGCCCCUGCUGGGGUUCUUCCUGAGGGAGGAGAAGUACGGCCCUGCCCAACGGCAGCAGUUCAAACUGUACCAUAAAAACACCCUGUUCUACAUCUUCAAGGCCGACGACAUCCCCAGCGCACAGAGAUGGAUCGAAGCCUUCCAAGAGGCCAUGAUCCUGGAGGAGUGAUCGUCCGCCGGCAGGCUGCACAUCCCUAAGCCGGUCGAUGGUGACCUGCCGAUCCGGAUCUCCAUCAGCCUCCAGACCCAGACCCCGGCCUCCCGUCCAGUACACACCCCUUCGGACCCCUUCGUACCCGCUGACCGCCAGCCGCGGACCUCCACAGCCUUCCGCUCUUUGUUAUUUUCUAAUCUCAUCCGUAUCUGUCACUGCUUCAGAGGGCCGGGGUGGCCGGCGGAGCUCCGGUCGUGUUGUACGUGUUCGUUUUGCUCUCAUUCCGAGGCGGUAUAGUUUCCAUUUCUGCUCGAGGACGAAAACAUUUGAUGAGACCCGGUGGUGGGUGACGAAGGUCAUGUCCAGAUGCACGUGUGAGGAAGUGUUUAGCAAAGCAAGACUAUUGAAAACCAGAGGAAGUCUUUGACCGGCAAAUAUGAAGGAUUUAACAGCUGAAGGUAUGGCGCUCUUUACAAACCACGUUAUCGGCCUACAUUUAAACACAUUAUCACAUGCUCCCUGCUUUGCCCGUGUGCAAAUGUUCAAUAGUCGCUUUUGUCCAUGAAAUAGUUCUAACUAAAUUGGAGAGCUAUGUUCAGGCUUGGAGGGAUUCAGGAAUGUGGAGGAUUGCCAUGCGUAGAUGAUGUGUAGGCUUUUACUGUGAACUACGGGCUUUUACAAAGAAGAGCAGGAAGCAGAUGUUCUACCCAAGAGUUGAUCUCUCUGGUUAAGAGAUUUUUUUUCGUGUCUUUUAGAUUUAAUUUUAGAAUACAAUGCAAUGACUUGUGGGGAAAACAAGAUACUGGUGAAAACUGGAAAUAAAAAAAAAAAUUAUGUAGAUAUUUGUAACUGAAGUCAGAUGGUAUUUUGAUUGGCUGUUCAGCCCCAUCUGAAGUAAUAUUUUGUAUAUUGAUGCAGAAAAGCAACAUGGGUCUUUUCUCCGUCUAAGCCGAGAGCAAAUAUUUAUAUGUAUUUUUAAUUUUUUUUAUCGCCAUGAUUUUGAAGCACAGGUUGCCACUUUUGUUUGUUCAUGAGAGAAGAGGAAGGUUAGGAUAUCUUUAUUAUUUAACCUUAUUUUUAAUUUUUUUAAUAACUUUUGAAACACUCAAUUCAAUCAAGUGUUUACUUUGGUGUGUUAGUUGGUUCAUUGUUGAAAGGACAGAUACACCUGCACCAUGUUUAUCACUGCCAGUGUUAUUUUCCUGUUCUUAACAUUGCUGCCAAUACAAUGAAUUACUUUUACCCCAAACGAUUAACAAUUUAGGGUCUUUCAAUAACCCUUGAGUUAAACGACAGGUCAUCAUGAUGCAGUCCUGUCUAUCCAACAUGAGGUGUGUCUUGUAUAGUUCUAAUCAGGUUGGACAAGUGUCAUUAUUGGUACAUACCAAGUGAAACUUACGCAUGAUCAUGGUUUGUGAUGAAAUGUCUCAAAACAAGAAGGGGGAAAAAAAGUUUAACUCUAGUAACACCGAAUGUGCCUUAUUGUUAAGCUCAGCAUUUUUGGGAAAAUGUGUGAAAUGUUUCACAUGAAUUGCGACAAACUAGACUAUUAAUCAGAUGCAGUUGCACAAGUCGUCCAAUCAACAUUUCUUCAGGGUAAUCUCUUCUGUCGUUUUUAUUAAUCAGGGUUGCAAUAGAUCACAAUGUUCACACAUUUUGAACAAACACAAUUCUGCUGUCAUGUUGUGAACAUUGUGUCUGUUUAUUAAGGUAUAACAGUGCUAGGAUAACAAAGAGGAAUGACGGAUACCAGUGAGUGUAUUAGGUUAUUGAAUCAGAUAUAAAGGGUUAGUUCAGAACUGUCAGGCAA